UUAGGCGUUUAGGGUUUUAUCAGUUGAUAGUUCAGUCAUUCAUUCACUUGACUUCACUUUUCACUCCCCUCUCUGUUUUACACUGUCUUUCAACAAUAAAUAAGAUAUCCGACUGUUUUCAAAGCCUGUAAUUUUGUCGCGCCAGAUGCAUUACACAACGUGUUGAAGAAUAAAUUGGAGCAUUCUUAUUAGGAAAGAUGAGGUUUGUCAAGAUCUCUAAAGCAAACCUUCAAUGGCGGCUAAUUCCACAUCAUUGGGUUUUAAUGAGUCGUUUAUAGACAUGUUUUUAAGUUUCAGAGUUUAAUCCCGAGGUAAUCAGGCUAAUCGUGGCUAGGUGUGGUAGCAUGGGACUAU